CCCCAGAUGUUGCUGAACUACAACUCCCAUGAUUCUUUCAAUGAAACAGAUAGGAGUUGUAGUUCAGCAACAUCUGGGG